rnacentral:rRNA from 1 species
ACAGCAGUAGCCGCGGUAACACGUAGGUGGCAAGCGUUGUCCGGAAUUAUUGGGCGUAAAGGGCUCGCAGGCGGUUCCUUAAGUCUGAUGUGAAAGCCCCCGGCUCAACCGGGGAGGAUCAUUGGAAACUGGGAAACUUGAGUGCAGAAGAGGAGAGUGGAAUUCCACGUGUAGCGGUGAAAUGCGUAGAGAUGUGGAGGAACACCAGUGGCGAAGGCGACUCUCUGGUCUGUAACUGACGCUGAGGAGCGAAAGCGUGGGGAGCGAACAGGAUUAGAGACCCCUGUAGUCCCUGUCUCUUAUAU